rnacentral:lncRNA from 1 species
UGUGCUCACCUACUAGGGGUAAAGUUGGAAAAAAAAAAAACAUCUUUACCUGAUAGUGCUAUUGAGAAAUAUUACUAGAGUAGAUGAAGAGAAAUAAAUGUGUUACAUUGGGUGAUUAUGCCCUUUUAGAUGUGAUUUAUUUAUUUUUACAAAGUAAAGUGGAAUAUUAAGGUAGAAAUAAUAAUCAUGAAUAUAAUUAGACUUUUUACAUUUUUGAAUUGGCUUAAAAAUCUUAUGUGAAAUUAUGUUAAGAAAUAAGUGUCUUUUGUUGAUCCAGUGUGUAGAGAACAUAUAUACCGUAUUAAGUGCUGUGAUGUGUAUUGGAUUUAGCUUUUGAUUUACCAUGGACAAAUCUGUUUUUUUACUGUCACUGUAUGCCCUGAAAGGUUAAAAGAGAUGUGUGAUUUGGAAGAGUAAGAACUUAUGUUAUUGGUUAUUGGUC